GUUACUACACAACUUUACUGAUAUUUGCAUCUGUAGCUAUUAUUUUUACAAUUUGUGAAUAAGAAAAAUGUGCAUUAGGUUUAAGAUUUUGCAGUCAACCAAGUUGUAAUAUUAUUUUAAUUUGGAAAAUGAAUCCAAAUGAAUCAUUAACCACUCUAAAUCUGUGAACUUUGCUGCCAUGGAGAGUGAAGGUAAAGUUGUAAAAAGCCAUCUUCCCACUUCAGCAGUGACAGAGUCGGACGAAGUGUCCAGAGAUUACAGAAACUGUGGCUUCGCUGUCGGCUGGAGAGGAGGAGGCAGUUCGGUUGAUCUGGGUUUCGUCUCUCCAGAACUUGAUGAAAUGACGGUUAAAAUUAGCCAAAGAGCGCGCGUGCCUUUCCAUGAGCCGUGGUGUGAGCGGCGAGUGACAAGAGGGCGACGAACAGGUCUGAAACACCGCCUGACCCGCUGCACCUGCUGCCACUAAGGCUGUGUUCACACUGCAGCCUGAAGCGAUCCAACCCCUGUAUCUAAGAUUCAAACCCUGUUGUUCUAGUUCAUCUAAAGCUCUUAAUUCACCUGUAAUGGUUUUAAUUCCUAGAUGUUUACAUUUUAUUUCAAAGAAUGCACAAAAAGUUGAAGGAAACAAAUGAUUCGAGGUUAGUCUUUCAUUUCCACAUUGUGAAAAUGGUCUCUGUUUGAUCUCUGGUGUUAACUCCUAUAUGAAGAAAAGAAACUGAGACAACAUGUCGUCACUGGAACAUAGCAAAAGCUGGAGGAGUCUGGACAGACUGGAAGGAGAAAAGGUUUCACGAAACCUCACCGCUGUGGUCACUGUGACAAGAGUUUUUCUACCAGCUCAAUUCUGAAACAUCUGCGUGUCCACACUGGAGAGAAACCCUUCCUCUGUGACGUGUGUGGAAAGACUUUUAGCCAACUAUCAUCUCUUAAGCAACAUCAACUGAUCCACACAGGAGAGAAGCCUCAUGUCUGCAGCUACUGCAGCAAAAGUUUCAGCCAUCUCGAAAGUUCAUCAGCGAAUCCACGCAGGAGAGAAGCCGUACAGCUGUGACCGAUGUGGACGAUGCUUCCGUCGGUCAGGAACUUUGAAAAACCAUCUGAGAAUCCAUGAUGGAGAAACAGCACAACCAGAUCCAACACCAUCUCCUGUAUCGUCUUGAUGUUUCACCGACAAACAGAAAAAAAGAAAAAACCUGUUUUAAUUUAAUUAAUUUGAAUGCAACUUAUGGUGUGAAAUUUUUGUUCCGAUUUUCAGACUAAACCACAAUAUCAUC